CAGUAGCCGCGGUAAUACGUAGGUGGCAAGCGUUGUCCGGAAUUAUUGGGCGUAAAGGGCUCGCAGGCGGUUUCUUAAGUCUGAUGUGAAAGCCCCCGGCUCAACCGGGGAGGGUCAUUGGAAACUGGGAAACUUGAGUGCAGAAGAGGAGAGUGGAAUUCCACGUGUAGCGGUGAAAUGCGUAGAUAUUGGGAGGAACACCAGUGGCGAAGGCGGCUUUUUGGCCUGUAACUGACACUGAGAGACGAAAGCUAGGGGAGCAAAUGGGAUUAGAUACCCCUGUAGUCCCUGUCUCUUAUAC
rnacentral:rRNA from 1 species